GAGAAGAUGGCAGGCAUCAAGUUUCUGGAUGAAGAGAAGACGCCAGGGCUUCUCCGGUGGGCGGGGAGGUUCUGCUCUCAUUCGGCGGUGAAAGAGCUGAUGCCGGAGACAGAGAAGCUGAUAGAGUUUGCCCACUUGCUGAGGGCCAAACUCAAAGCCGAGGCUGAGGCUCGCGGAAAAUAGAUCUCUACAUGAUGUAUGUCCAGUUCAGAUUUGUUUACUUAUUUC
rnacentral:misc_RNA from 1 species